rnacentral:rRNA from 1 species
AGGAUUCCCCUAGUAACGGCGAGUGAAGCGGGAAGAGCUCAAAUUUGAAAUCUGGUGGCCUCAGGUCAUCCGAGUUGUAAUCUAUAGAAGUGUUUUCCGUGCUGGCUCAUGUACAAGUCCCUUGGAACAGGGCGUCAUAGAGGGUGAGAAUCCCGUCCUUGACAUGAACUACCAGUGCUCUGUGAUACAUUUUCAACGAGUCGAGUUGUUUGGGAAUGCAGCUCAAAAUGGGUGGUAAAUUCCAUCUAAAGCUAAAUAUUGGCGAGAGACCGAUAGCGAACAAGUACCGUGAGGGAAAGAUGAAAAGCACUUUGGAAAGAGAGUUAAACAGUAUGUGAAAUUGUUAAAAGGGAAACGAUUGAAGUCAGUCGUGCUCUUUGGAUUCAGCCGGUUCUGCCGGUGUACUUCCUUUGAGUGGGGUCAACAUCAGUUUUGAUCGCUGGAUAAAGGCUGGAGGAACGUAGCACCCCCGGGUGAACUUAUAGCCUCCUGUCACAUACAGUGGUUGGGACUGAGGAACGCAGCACGCCUUUAUGGCCAGGAUCCGUCCAUGUACGUGCUUAGGAUGUUGACAUAAUGGCUUUA